AUUGAACGCUGGCGGCAGGCUUAACACAUGCAAGUCGAGCGUGCGGCGGGCGGGUGAGUAAUGUCUGGGAAACUGCCUGAUGGAGGGGGCUAACUACUGGAAACGGUAGCUAAUCCCGCCUACCAUCAGAUGUGCCCAGAUGGGAUUCUCUAGUAGGUGGUGUAAUGGCUCACCUAGGCGACGAUCCCGAGCUGGUCUGAGAGGAUGACGAGCAACACUGGAACGGAGACACGGGCCAGACUCCUACGGGAGGCAGCAGGGGGGAAUAUUGCACAAUGGGCGCAAGCCGGAAGCAGGCAUGCCGCGUGUGUGAAGAAGGCCUUCGGGGUGUAAAGGACGUUCAGCGAGGAGGCGGUACUCGAAGAAGAAGCACCGGCUAACUCCGUGCCAGCAGCCGCGGUAAUAC
rnacentral:rRNA from 1 species